UCCUGGGGCUGGAGAAGGUCCCAAGGGUUUGGCUGUUCGCCAAUUAAAAAGGUACGUGAGCUGGGUUCAAACCGUCAACCAACACAUAUUGUCUGUUAGGUAUGUGUGGCGGCCUAUGGCAGCGAUGUCGUAGUGAAUAAAUCGACUCAUAUCGGUGAAGUCCUAACAUUGAAUUGUAUUACAACCUGUCAUAUGUUAGGAUAAUACCGAGGGAAGUCUAUAUAAAUUCAAAAGUUAAAAAUCAAAAUGCAAAAUUUUAUCAAAAAUAAUUGGUUUAAAUUAUUGAUACUAAUUUUGCUUGCGGUUUUUAUAGGGAUUUAUGGUUAUAGUGUUUAUAAAUCUUAUCAACCAAAAUCUCUAAAAGAAAAAAUUUUUCAGGAAAUUCAAAAAAGAUAAAUUGAAUUCAUAUAUGACCCCGUAGAGACUGAGUCCCGCAAAGUGCGGGACGAGAGUCGCUUGAAAUAAAGCGGCUAACACGUCGAUCCUCUCUGUUUAAGUGAGAGGGUGGUAUAGUCCAUACACCUAGUAAUAGGUGACAAAUUACGAUUUUAAUCGUAAAUAAUAUGCGUGAGACAGGUUGGUCUCUAUCUGCUGCAGGCGUGGAUACUUGAGGGGAGUCUUCUUUAGUAAAUUUUUGCUACUUCACAGAGCAAUCUGUGAUGACAAUUCGACUAAUAACGGUGAAACCUUCAUAAUUAUAUGGUGGCACACGACCAUUUGGUAGCGUGGUCCGCUACAUUCGUGGUAUAAUGUGUUCUAUUAAUGGAACAAGAUUGAGGACCAUAUAGUUUUAAGGCAAUACCGUGGGAAGACAAACAAAAAAUCAAAUAGAUUGGGCAUAUAUAGCAGGUUUUUUGGACGGCGAUGGAAGUUUAAUGGUACAAGUAAAAAAUAGACGCGCAACUAAACGAGGUUGGCGUUUGAUGUUUACGAUUUGCUUCUAUCAAGAUAGCCGCCACAAAAAAUAUCUGAAGUGGAUUAAAAACAAAAUCGGAAUCGGUUAUUUAUCUGAUAGAUCAGAUGGAAUAAGCGAACUCCGAAUUAAUGGUUUUGAUUCAGUUAGAAAAAUACUGAUAAAGUUGAAGCCGUAUGUAAAAUUUAAAGCCAUUCAAUUAAAGAUAGUUUUAAGAAUCUUAUCUUUAAUAAGCGGUAAAAAUUUUGCCCAAUUGGAUAAAAAUACCAGAUUGAAAAUUGCCGAUUUAAUCAGUGAUUUGCAAAACAGAAAUUAUAAAUCUGGCAGGCGCAAAUUUAAUAAAGUUAAAUUGCGUAAAGUUUUAGGAUUUUAGUUUGUCCCCGUAACGACUUGUUUCUGUUAUUAAAACAGAAACGGAUGGCAGGUGCUUCAUAUUGAAGAUAAAAAACUGCCAUAAUACGUCGACCCCCCGCCAUAGCGGGGGUGAAGAUAUAGUCUGAGCCCAUAGAAAUAUGGGAAAAAAUCACAAAAUAUUAUUGUGAUGUAAUCGACGAGAGGACCGAGAAGAACGGACCGCUGGUGUACCAGCUGUACUGCCAAGUGCAUCGCUGGGUAGCUAUGUCUGGAUCGGAUAAGCGCUGAAAGCAUCUAAGCACGAAGCCGGCCCCAAGAUUAGGUAUCGUAGACCCCUUCUAGACCAGGAGGUUGAUAGGCCCUAGGUGUAAGUCCGGUAACGGAUUGAGCCGAGGGGUACUAAUUGGUCAUUC
rnacentral:rRNA from 1 species